rnacentral:rRNA from 1 species
UACAGGGGGUGCAAACGUUGCUCGGAAUCAUUGGGCGUAAAGAGCGUGUAGGCGGCUUGUUAAGUCUUGCGUGAAAUCUCGGGGCUCAACCCCGAGCGGUCGUGAGAAACUGGCAGGCUAGAGUGCGGGAGAGGAGAGUGGAAUUCCUGGUGUAGCGGUGAAAUGCGCAGAUAUCAGGAAGAACACCCGUGGCGAAGGCGGCUCUCUGGAACGCAACUGACGCUGAGACGCGAAAGCGUGGGGAGCAAACAGG